UACGUAGGGUGCGAGCGUUUAAUCGGAAUUACUGGGCGUAAAGCGUGCGCAGGCGGUUGGUUAAGUCUGAUGUGAAAGCCCCGAGCUCAACUUGGGAAUGGCAUUGGAAACUGGCUGGCUAGAGUGUGGCAGAGGGGGGUGGAAUUCCGCGUGUAGCAGUGAAAUGCGUAGAGAUGCGGAGGAACACCGAUGGCGAAGGCAGCCCCCUGGGCUGACACUGACGCUCAGGCACGAAAGCGUGGGGAGCAAACAGG
rnacentral:rRNA from 1 species